rnacentral:rRNA from 1 species
UGGAAGUAAAAGUCGUAACAAGGUCUCCGUUGGUGAACCAGCGGAGGGAUCAUUACCGAGUUUACAACUCCCAAACCCAAUGUGAACCAUACCAAACUGUUGCCUCGGCGGGGUCACGCCCCGGGUGCGUCGCAGCCCCGGAACCAGGCGCCCGCCGGAGGGACCAACCAAACUCUUUUCUGUAGUCCCCUCGCGGACGUUAUUUCUUACAGCUCUGAGCAAAAAUUCAAAAUGAAUCAAAACUUUCAACAACGGAUCUCUUGGUUCUGGCAUCGAUGAAGAACGCAGCGAAAUGCGAUAAGUAAUGUGAAUUGCAGAAUUCAGUGAAUCAUCGAAUCUUUGAACGCACAUUGCGCCCGCCAGUAUUCUGGCGGGCAUGCCUGUCCGAGCGUCAUUUCAACCCUCGAACCCCUCCGGGGGGUCGGCGUUGGGGAUCGGGAACCCCUAAGACGGGAUCCCGGCCCCGAAAUACAGUGGCGGUCUCGCCGCAGCCUCUCCUGCGCAGUAGUUUGCACAACUCGCACCGGGAGCGCGGCGCGUCCACGUCCGUAAAACACCCAACUUCUGAAAUGUUGACCUCGGAUCAGGUAGGAAUACCCGC